rnacentral:rRNA from 1 species
AGUGAACGCUGGCGGUAGGCCUAACACAUGCAAGUCGAACGGCAGCACAGUAAGAGCUUGCUCUUACGGGUGGCGAGUGGCGGACGGGUGAGGAAUACAUCGGAAUCUACUUUUUCGUGGGGGAUAACGUCGGGAAACUUACGCUAAUACCGCAUACGACCUACGGGUGAAAGUAGGGGAUCUUCGGACCUUGCGCGAUUGAAUGAGCCGAUGUCGGAUUAGCUAGUUGGCGGGGUAAAGGCCCACCAAGGCGACGAUCCGUAGCUGGUCUGAGAGGAUGUACAGCCACACUGGAACUGAGACACGGUCCAGACUCCUGCGGGGGGCCGCAGUGGGGAAUAUUGGACAAUGGGCGCAAGCCUGAUCCAGCCAUACCGCGUGGGUGAAGAAGGCCUUCGGGUUGUAAAGCCCUUUUGUUGGGAAAGAAAAGCAGCAGGUUAAUACCCCGCUGUUCUGACGGUACCCAAAGAAUAAGCACCGGCUAACUUCGUG